AUGAACGCUGGCGGCGUGUCUAAGGCAUGCAAGUCGAAUGGGUUUAGACCCAUGGCAAACGGGUGAGUAACACAUUGGUAACUUACCUCGAAGUUCGGCAUAACCUUCCGAAAGGAAGAAUAAUACCGGAUGUGUUCAACUGCCACAUGGUGGUUGAGUAAAGAUUUAUCGCUUCGAGAGAGACCCAUGGCUUAUCAGCUAGUUGGUGAGGUAAUAGCCCACCAAGGCAAUGACGAGUAGCGGGUGUGAGAGCACGACCCGCCUCACUGGGACUGAGACACUGCCCAGACUCCUACGGGAGGCUGCAGUCAAGAAUAUUCCACAAUGGACGAAAGUCUGAUGGAGCGACGCCGCGUGACUGAUGACGCCCUUCGGGGUGUAAAGGUCUUUUAUAUGUCAAGAAAAUGACGGUAGCAUAUGAAUAAGCACCGGCUAACUCCGU
rnacentral:rRNA from 1 species